ACCCAUUUCUUCGAAAUAAAGCUGGAAAAAUAAAGCUGUGACUUUCUGAUUUUUUAAAUUUUUGCUGCGCGUGUAAGGGUACUUUUUAGAAGUUUCAAUAUGAUAUGUGGCACAAAUACGCAAGUCUUUUCAUUUAUAUUUGCAUUCAAACACCUAUAUUAUACCACAAGAACAUUUAAAUAUUGAAUAUAUGUUUUCUUUUGCGUGUAAUUACGAAAUCUAGUUCCGGACAAAAUCUUACAAGUUCUAUCUAAGUGGUCUUCACUUUCAAAAUCCGAAACAAUGUCGGCCGGCGAUUGGUGUCUUAUUGAGAGUGAUCCAGGUGUAUUUACAGAGCUGAUAAAGGGUUUUGGAGUGACUGGGGCACAAGUAGAGGAAAUAUGGAGCUUAGACCCAGAGAGCUUUGCAAAUCUAAGGCCUGUUCAUGGACUUAUAUUCUUGUUUAAAUGGAAGCCAGAUGACACACCCCAGGGUUCACUUGUUCAAGACAGUCGACUGGAAAAAAUAUUCUUUGCCAAACAGGUCAUCAACAAUGCAUGUGCUACUCAAGCCAUUCUGAGCAUCUUACUGAAUGCUGAACAUAAAGACAUCAAACUGGGAGAAACACUAGGAUCAUUCAGAGAGUUCACACAGUCAUUUGAUGCUGCAACUAAAGGAUUGAGCAUUAGUAACUCUGACCAAAUCAAAAAAGUCCACAACAGUUUUGCAAGACAAGAAAUGUUUGAAUUUGAUAAAUCUCUGGCAAAGAAAGAUGAUGAUGUCUUCCACUUUAUUGGAUAUCUACCUAUAGAUGGCAGGCUGUAUGAGGUAGAUGGUCUCAAGGAAGGACCCAUAGACCAUGGCAGUAUACCGGAGGGAUCUGAUUGGUUGGAUUCUGCAAGACCUGUCAUAGAAAAAAGAAUACAAAAGUAUGCUGCAGAUGAAAUACAUUUCAACCUAAUGGCAAUAGUUUCCGACAGAAAAAUGACUUACACAAACCGAAUAGAAGAACUCAUGAAGCAAAUGGAGACUGAUGAAAGGGAUUUGGAAAUCAGUAAACUUCAAAUGCUUAUACAAGAAGAGGAUCUCAAAUCUAACAGAUAUAAAAUUGAAAAUAUCAGGAGACGUCACAACUAUCUACCAUUCAUUAUGGAACUACUUAAAAUCCUUGCCAAGGAAGGAAAACUUGUAGAUAUGGUAGAAAAGGCCAAAGAAAAACAAGUUGAAAAGAAAAAGGAGAAAGCAGCAGCAAAAUAGCAAAAUGCUUCACCUCAGUUCACUGAAAUCAUGGACAUUGGACAUGCACAACAACCAGGGAGCGACUUAAAGUGCCAGCCUGGAGUUAGUUACCUUUGAUCUGGGCCAUCUUAUUUUUUCAACAAACAUGAAUGUAGGAACUAUGGUUAUUGAACUACAGAUCUACAACCCUUAUGAUGCACCCUGUAUAUUACAUUCUUCAUUAUUUAUUUAUUUUCAAAAAUGGACACAAUAUCUAUCUUAGUUAAUCAGAUUGUGCCAUGAAAUACUGAAGAUGGCAUACGUGACAUUGUAUAUUAUUUGAUCAUAUUUAUUCCCUAUUUUAUGAUCAAAUAAUUAUACAGUACAAGAAAACUGAAGGACAUUUCAGAUAUUUGCCAAACUCUAGAUUUGUCAAUAAAUGAGUGUUCAGCUGGACAGUAAACUUCAAUAUCGGUGUACAUGUAAUUUCUUUUGGAGAAAUGAGACACAAAAACUGAUUUGAACUAUUUUAUUAAAAUACAAUGUAUUGUUUAUGAGUGGCAUAAGGGCUUUAUAUACUGUGGCAAUGCUAAUUUCCUGACUAAAGUAUGAUUCUCUUUACAACAUGGUUGUCUAUGGUUGCCAUUUGAUGAAAAGUGUAAUAAGAUAUUGCCAUUUACUGUUUGUUAUUAUAAUCGAGGGAUGACAUACUAUCAUUUCAUAUAUGGUCACAUAAUAUGAAAUAGAUGAACUAAUUCCUUGGAAAGUCCUAAAUUGAAGAUGAAACUACUAAUGACCAGUUUCAUCAUGUGACCAGUUUUUGAUACUUUUUAUCUUCCCAUUUAAUGUUGAAACUGAAAGACUUCU
rnacentral:misc_RNA from 1 species